AUGAAACAAAGACCCAUUAAUCCAAUAAAUUAUCUCCUCCCAACUACAAAAAAGGUUUCCAACCUUGAGUCUUGAGUUCCUUUUCUGCCACCCCUUUCUCGACCUUCAGUUUCCUCCAUCAGUGACAUGGUCAGCUUACUCCGGUGGCCUUUCUUUCUCUCAAUAGCCAAGUAUGCUAUGUUCUUUUUUCUCUCUCAGAUCUGGAAAUGAAUCUCUCUUUCCUUCACUUUUUCUUCUGGGUAGUUUUCAUAAAGUUAAAACUUUUUUUAUUUUUAAAGAUGCAGAUAUGUUGUUAAAAGCAUCCCACAAGUGAUUAUAUGACUUUUUAGUUGUCUGGUUGGUUGACUUCAUUUUCUUUAGAUGUGAUAUUCUCUGCUUCUUUUUGCUAGGUUUUUUUAUUGCUUGUUCAUGUUUUUUUGUCGUUGAUUUUCUUUUAUGAUUUUUAGUAGCUGCUUAAUAGUUGGUUUCAUUUUAUGAUUUUGUAAUUGGUCUUUGGUGGGACGUUUCCUGUUGGUUCCUAGGUUUUUUUUUGUCUUAAUUAGGAGUCUUUGUAAUUGUUUUGUUGGUUGUUCUCACCAAUAGUUUGUGUUUGCUGGUUUUGGUUGUUCUUUUUUUUUUUUUUGCAAUUUACUGUUAAAUAAGGAUUGUUUGUUUUCUAUUUCGUGUUGCUUACUUUCUACCAUGGAAUUGGUAGUUUCUGUAGAGUUUUUUUUUUUUACAGUAAUGAUAUCCCUUUCUUGCCUUUAAAAAAAAAAUCUAUUGAAUAUUAUUGUGAUGGUUUCCUAAAUGUACAUGUUUUGCUACAAUUUGAAUAUAUAUGUGAUUAUAUGUAUUUCUUGUAGAUGGAUAAAAAAAUCAUUGAUGCAACAGUUAUGGGUGCAGCUGCAUCGAUAUUAGCUUUUGGAGUUGUUUUUGGAGAACUUUAAAAGCCCUAUAAUUAUCCCUUAAGGUGUUAUUCAUAAAAGAAGACAUAGAAGGCUGUAACAUAUAUGGAGGCACAGCUAAGAAAUCUUUUUCACAAACAUUUUUGGAUGAAUGAUAUAUCCACAUAUGUCAAAACUCUAU
rnacentral:lncRNA from 1 species